GACAGAGGGUGCAAACGUUGUUCGGAAUUACUGGGCGUAAAGCGUGUGUAGGCGGCUUUGUAAGUCGGAUGUGAAAGCCCCGAGCUCAACCCGGGAAGUGCACUCGAUACUGCGAAGCUUGAGUACUGGAGAGGUUGGUGGAAUUCUCGGUGUAGAGGUGAAAUUCGUAGAUAUCGAGAGGAACACCGGUGGCGAAGGCGGCCAACUGGACAGAUACUGACGCUGAGACACGAAAGCGUGGGGAGCAAACAGG
rnacentral:rRNA from 1 species